CAGCCGCCGCGGGAAAACGAAGGGUGCAAGCGUUACUCGGAAUUACUGGGCGUAAAGCGUGCGUAGGUGGUGGUUUAAGUCCGUUGUGAAAGCCCUGGGCUCAACCUGGGAAUUGCAGUGGAUACUGGGUCACUAGAGUGUGGUAGAGGAUAGUGGAAUUUCCGGUGUAGCAGUGAAAUGCGUAGAGAUCGGAAGGAACAUCUGUGGCGAAGGCGACUAUCUGGGCCAACACUGACACUGAGGCACGAAAGCGUGGGGAGCAAACAGGAUUAGAUACCCGGGUAGUCCCUGUCUCUUAUAC
rnacentral:rRNA from 1 species